AACGAACGCUGGCGGCAUGCCUAACACAUGCAAGUCGAACGAUUGCCUUCGGGUGAUAGUGGCGCACGGGUGCGUAACGCGUGGGAAUCUGCCCUUAGGUUCGGAAUAACAGCUGGAAACGGCUGCUAAUACCGGAUGAUAUCGCGAGAUCAAAGUCUUAUCGCCUGAGGAUGAGCCCGCGUUGGAUACGUUAGUUGGUGGGGUAAAGGCCUACCAAGCCGACGAUCCAUAGAUGGUCUGAGAGGUUGAUCCGCGACACUGGGACUGGGACACGGCACAGAAUCUUACGGAAGGCGGCAGUGGCUGAUAUUGGACAGCCGCGGGAGGCCUGAUCCAGCAAGGCCCGGAGAGUGAUGAAGGCAGUAGGGUUGUAAAGCGCUUUUACCCGGGAAGAUAAUGACGGUACCGAAAGAAUAAGCCCCGGCUAACUCCGUG
rnacentral:rRNA from 1 species